rnacentral:rRNA from 1 species
AUUGAACGCUGGCGGCAGGCCUAACACAUGCAAGUCGAGCGGAUGAAGGGAGCUUGCUCCUGGAUUCAGCGGCGGACGGGUGAGUAAUGCCUAGGAAUCUGCCUGGUAGUGGGGGAUAAUGUCCGGAAACGGGCGCUAAUACCGCAUACGUCCUGAGGGAGAAAGUGGGGGAUCUUCGGACCUCACGCUAUCAGAUGAGCCUAGGUCGGAUUAGCUAGUUGGUGGGGUAAAGGCCUACCAAGGCGACGAUCCGUAACUGGUCUGAGAGGAUGAUCAGUCACACUGGAACUGAGACACGGUCCAGACUCCUACGGGAGGCAGCAGUGGGGAAUAUUGGACAAUGGGCGAAAGCCUGAUCCAGCCAUGCCGCGUGUGUGAAUAAGGUCUUCGGAUUGUAAAGCACUUUAAGUUGGGAGGAAGGGCAGUAAGUUAAUACCUUGCUGUUUUGACGUUACCAACAGAAUAAGCACCGGCUAACUUCGU